AGAACCUGUUCGGUGGCUGUGAUUAAAUGAUCUAUGGAGAGGCUGUGGAUAAUUCUGUGGCAUGUCUUUGCUUCAUGACAAGAAAUCUGUCAUUUGCCAUAUGCUCACAUUUUGUAGCAAUAACAUUUUUUCCCAAGAGUCUCAGAUCUCAGGAACUGUAUCAGAAAUACUUUAAAGACUUUUUCUAUUUGUGUUUUUUUUUUUUUUUUUUUUUUAUUUUUAAGAAUUAGUAUCAGUAACUAAAAUUUCUGCAGAAACAACACUAAAACCUAGUGGCAGUGAUUGUUACUCUUUUGUUGACCACUGCAAAAAUUUCAGUGGCUGACAAUUAUUUAUUUAUUUAUUUAUUUUGCUCAGAAAUUCUGCACAAAGGACUUGAUCCCAAUCAAUGAAGUAAGUUAUGAAGAUGAAUGCCUUUCUGCAAAGACAACUCAGACUUAGCUCUGCUGGUUACAAAGAAGUCUUUGUUCCUAGUCUAUGCUUGGGCUGUGCCUUGGAUAUUAGUUGGAAACCUGAUAGCCUGACAUUGCUCGAAGUCUGUGAGUACAAUGUGAGUCGUCUGCAACUGGGAUUAAAACAGGCCUUUUGUACCAAGAUGCUGAGAGGCCACGUGAUCUUGGAAAAGCAAUGGUUUUGGAUGGCAGGAGAUGUUUAACCCUUUGUGCUUGUGGCAGGGAGCCAGGCGUGUUGCUGCGGGAAGCAGAACCCGAGUGUUUGUAGGGGAGGAGGUGGCCCAGGGGUAGCCAGGGCUGCUGCGUGUAUGGGUUGUUAGAAUACUUGAGUAGUUCCUGUCAAAUAAGCAAAUAAUGCCUUGUACAGAGAGCAUGCGGGCAUAUCCCCCAGCUCCUGUCCCUGCCUCGCUGCCCAGCUUGUGCUUGCUCCCUUUGGAACAGGUCACAGAAACAGAAUUGCAGGGGUUGGAAGGGACCUCCAGAGAUCAUUGGGUCCAACCCCCCGUCAGAGCAGGUUGCCCAGGUAGGCGUCCAGAUGGGCCUUGAAUAUCUCCAGAGAAGGAGACUCCACAACCUCCCUGGGCUGCCUGUCCCAGUGCUCCGUCACCCUCACCGUGAAGAAGUUCUUGCACAUGUUGGUGCGGAACUGCCUGGGCUCCAUUUUGUGGCCGUUGCCCCUUGUCCUGUCCCCACAGACCACUGAAAAGAGGUUGGCCGUAUCUCUUUCUCCCACAAUUAAGAUAUUUAUAAACAUUGAUAAGAUCCCCUCUGUCUUCUUUUCUCAAAGCUGAACAGACCCAGGUGUCUCAGCCUUUCCCAGGUCCCCAUGAUAUGCUGUAGGUGUGCUUUUAAAACUGGACAAGUCAGGGCUAUGAACCAAUGUUCACCAAUGGCUCAGAAAGAUGAGCUGUUCUGUAAAAAUUCCUGAAGUAACGUUAUAAAUAAUAAAUACAGAAUUAUUUUUAUUUGCCUAGUGAUU
rnacentral:lncRNA from 1 species